rnacentral:rRNA from 1 species
UAAGCGGAGGAAAAGAAACUAACAAGGAUUCCCCCAGUAACGGCGAGUGAAGCGGGAAGAGCUCAAGCUUAAAAUCUCCAUACUUGUAUGGCGAAUUGUAGUCUAUUGAGGCUGUUGUCAGCAUCGCGAUUGGGGACAAGUCCCUUGGAAAAGGGCAGCAUAGAGGGUGAUACUCCCGUCUCUGCUCCAAUCUGCGGUGUGUACGAUACGCUUUCUUUGAGUCGAGUUGUUUGGGAAUACAGCUCAAAGUAGGUGGUAAAUUCCAUCUAAAGCUAAAUAUUGGUGCGAGACCGAUAGCGAACAAGUACCGUGAGGGAAAGAUGAAAAGAACUUUGAAAAGAGAGUUAAAGAGUACCUGAAACUGUUGAAAGGGAACCGUAUCGUUUCCAGUGUUGUAUCCUAUGCAUAUUUCAUUCGUGGAGCAAUUUGCGGGUGCCCUGUGCAUGGGUGUGACGUCAGGGUCAGUUUGUAUGCUGCGGGAGAUGGUCAGUGAGGAGGUGCGUCACUUCGGUGAAAGUUAUAUCUCGCUGUCUAGUAGCCGUGGUUGAGACUGAGGUGCCUACAACAUGCCUUAAGGUUCCGUGUUGUCUCGUGUUGGUGACUGCUUUGAUAGCUUGCUAUGUUUGUGGUUUAUUAGUGCGAUUGAUGAUGCGGAUAACUUUUGCUGUUCGGGACUCUGGCGAA